GUGGCUCAGUGGCGGAGUGUGUGCUUGGCAUGCACAAGGCCCUGGGUUCUAUCCCUGC
rnacentral:tRNA from 1 species